rnacentral:rRNA from 1 species
UACAGAGGGGGCAAGCGUUGUUCGGAAUUACUGGGCGUAAAGGGCGCGUAGGCGGCCUGCUAAGUCGAACGUGAAAUCCCCGAGCUCAACUCGGGAACUGCGUCCGAUACUGGCAGGCUUGAAUCCGGGAGAGGGAUGCGGAAUUCCAGGUGUAGCGGUGAAAUGCGUAGAGAUCAGCAGGAACACCCGUGGCGAAGGCGGCCCCCUGGGCCGUACCUGACGCUGAGGCGCGAAGGCUAGGGGAGCGAACGGG